AAGGAUUUAGUUUAUCGAACCUUUCUUUUACAAAGAAAAAGUCUUUCCUUU
rnacentral:tRNA from 1 species